GGCCUCCAUCUUGAAAACGGAAAAUAAAAACAGCAGACCUAUGAAGGUCGAAGGGGAAGAAAAGCUGUAUCGAUUGUUGAGAUCUGGCGACUUGUUUAAAUUUCAUCAGCCUCACUUCUAUGAACUCUCAGAGCUGAUUACCAACUCCUACCACUGUUAACCCUCAUCCAGGAACAAGCUUAUGUCUUUAACAUUCUGAGUGGGCUUCAGCAUCCUUGCAUAUGUUCAAUUCUUAAAAACCUGUUGAAAUAAAAGAUCAGGAGACAUAGGAAGGAUGCCAGAAGAGAGCGUGGCCUCACGUGUACCAGCUCUCUGCUCUCCUUUGCCUUGGGACGUUCCAUCCCUGGAAGUUUCCCUGCCCACAUCUUUGUAGAGAGUCCAUUCUCCAAGCUUCAGUGUGUCAUCUGUGAGGACCGUGACCCACCUGGUACAUCGCCUCAGGGCAUUCAUUUCAGGCUCCUUCUAAAUGGCCAAGUUUUCAAGAUUGUUUUGGCUCUAGCAAAACAAGUUGGAACAUUCACAUCAUCCACUGCACUGAUGAGGAAACUGAAACAGAAAAUCCAGAGUAAAUUCCACCAGGCCACACAGCAAGGUCUGAUAGAGCCAGGAGAGACUUUAUGAAAUCCAGACUCUCACACUAAUGCUCUAUCAGCUAGACCUCCAUGUGAGUCUCCCCAAUGUAGGUAGGAAGUGCUUUCCC
rnacentral:lncRNA from 1 species